rnacentral:misc_RNA from 1 species
UUUCCGUAGGUGAACCUGCGGAAGGAUCAUUAAAGAGUAAGGGUCUCCGGGCCCGAUCUCCAACCCUUUGUUUAAUUACCAUGUUGCUUUGGCGGGCCCGUCUCACGACCGCCGGAAGUUUGGUCUCAACCAGACUUCUGGCCCGUGCCCGUCAGUGGCCCCUUCAAAUUCUUGAUUAAAUAUGAUGUCUUAGUUAUAAACUUAAUAGUCAAAACUUUCAACAACGGAUCUCUUGGUUCUG